AAACAUUUUUGGGAGAACAUAUUUUUGAUAUAGCCUGCUCAAUGCAGUAAAUAGCUGCAGUAUAUUAACUGUACAAAGGUAGCAUAAUCAUUAGUCUUUUAAUUGAAGGCUUGUAUGAAUGGCUGAACAUGAUAUUUUUUAUACUGUGUUAAUUUUAUUUUUAAGUAAGAAAGCUUAAUUAAUUAAAAGGGACGAGAAGACCCUAUAGAAUUUAAAAGGAAGAUAUUUUUGUUGGGGUGAUGAAAUUAACUUUCUUUCAAAUAAAUGAUUUUGGAUCCUUUAGAUAUUUAGAUAAAAUUACCUUAGGGAUAACAGCAUAAUUUUUCUUAAAAGAUCAUAUUAAUGGAAAAGAUUAUGACCUCGAUGUUGAAUUAAUUAUAUUUAGGUGUAGAUAUUAGAUA
rnacentral:rRNA from 1 species